AACGAACGCUGGCGGCAUGCCUAACACAUGCAAGUCGAACGAGACCUUCGGGUCUAGUGGCGCACGGGUGCGUACCGCGUGGGAACCUGCCCUUAGGUUCGGAAUAACUCCCCGAAAGGGGUGCUAAUACCGGAUAAUGUCUUCGGACCAAAGAUUUAUCGCCUUGGGAUGGGCCCGCGUUGGAUUAGCUAGUUGGUAGGGUAAAAGCCUACCAAGGCGACGAUCCAUAGCUGGUCUGAGAGGAUGAUCAGCCACACUGGGACUGAGACACGGCCCAGACUCCUACGGGAGGCAGCAGUGGAGAAUAUUGGACGAUGGGCGAAAGCCUGAUCCAGCAAUGCCGCGUGAGUGAUGAAGGCCUUAGUGUUGUAAAGCUCUUUUACCCGGGAUGAUAAUGACAGUACCGGGAGAAUAAGCUCCGGCUAACUCCGUG
rnacentral:rRNA from 1 species